rnacentral:rRNA from 2 species
UGGAUCCAGACUUUGAUCCUGGCUCAGGAUGAACGCUAGCUACAGGCUUAACACAUGCAGGUCGAGGGGCAGCGGGAUUGAAGCUUGCUUCAAUUGCCGGCGACCGGCGCACGGGUGAGUAACGCGUAUCCAACCUUCCGUACACUCAGGGAUAGCCUUUCGAAAGAAAGAUUAAUACCUGAUGGUAUGAUGAGAUUGCAUGAUAGCAUCAUUAAAGAUUUAUCGGUGUACGAUGGGGAUGCGUUCCAUUAGGUAGUAGGCGGGGUAACGGCCCACCUAGCCAACGAUGGAUAGGGGUUCUGAGAGGAAGGUCCCCCACAUUGGAACUGAGACACGGUCCAAACUCCUACGGGAGGCAGCAGUGAGGAAUAUUGGUCAAUGGACGAGAGUCUGAACCAGCCAAGUAGCGUGAAGGAUGAAGGUCCUACGGAUUGUAAACUUCUUUUAUAAGGGAAUAAACCCUCCCACGUGUGGGAGCUUGUAUGUACCUUAUGAAUAAGCAUCGGCUAACUCCGUGCCAGCAGCCGCGGUAAUACGGAGGAUGCGAGCGUUAUCCGGAUUUAUUGGGUUUAAAGGGAGCGCAGACGGGUCGUUAAGUCAGCUGUGAAAGUUUGGGGCUCAACCUUAAAAUUGCAGUUGGUACUGGCGUCCUUGAGUGCGGUUGAGGUGUGCGGAAUUCGUGGUGUAGCGGUGAAAUGCUUAGAUAUCACGAAGAACUCCGAUUGCGAAGGCAGCACACUAAUCCGUAACUGACGUUCAUGCUCGAAAGUGUGGGUAUCAAACAGGAUUAGAUACCCUGGUAGUCCACACGGUAAACGAUGGAUACUCGCUGUUGGCGAUAUACUGUCAGCGGCUUAGCGAAAGCGUUAAGUAUCCCACCUGGGGAGUACGCCGGCAACGGUGCAACUCAAAUGAAUUGACGGA